rnacentral:rRNA from 1 species
AUUGAACGCUGGCGGCAUGCCUUACACAUGCAAGUCGAACGGUAACAGGUCUUCGGAUGCUGACGAGUGGCGAACGGGUGAGUAAUACAUCGGAACGUGCCUAGUAGUGGGGAUAACUACUCGAAAGAGUGGCUAAUACCGCAUGAGAUCUACGGAUGAAAGCAGGGGAUCGCAAGACCUUGUGCUAAUAGAGCGGCCGAUGGCAGAUUAGGUAGUUGGUGGGAUAAAAGCUUACCAAGCCGACGAUCUGUAGCUGGUCUGAGAGGACGAUCAGCCACACUGGGACUGAGAAACGGCCCAGACUCCUACGGGAGGCAGCAGUGGGGAAUUUUGGACAAUGGGCGCAAGCCUGAUCCAGCAAUGCCGCGUGCAGGAUGAAGGCCUUCGGGUUGUAAACUGCUUUUGUACGGAACGAAAAGCCCCGGGUUAAUACCCUGGGGUCAUGACGGUACCGUAAGAAUAAGCACCGGCUAACUACGUGCCAGCAGCCGCCGUAA